rnacentral:rRNA from 1 species
GUCGAACGGGGAUAAGACAUCGGAAGAGCUGCUUGCAGAAUGGAAGAAGUCAUAUUCUAGUGGCGGACGGGUGAGUAACGCGUGGGCAACCUGCCUUAUACAGGGGGAUAACAGCUGGAAACAGCUGCUAAUACCACAUAAGCGCACAGCGGCGCAUGACGCAGUGUGAAAAACUGAGGUGGUAUAAGAUGGGCCCGCGUCUGAUUAGCUGGUUGGGAGGGUAACGGCCUACCAAGGCGACGAUCAGUAGCCGGCCUGAGAGGGCGGACGGCCACAUUGGGACUGAGACACGGCCCAGACUCCUACGGGAGGCAGCAGUGGGGAAUAUUGCACAAUGGGGGGAACCCUGAUGCAGCGACGCCGCGUGAGUGAAGAAGUAUUUCGGUACGUAAAGCUAUAUCAGCAGGGAAGAAAAAAGGACAAAAAAAAAUUUUUUUGCCCCGGCUAAGGGGGUGCCAACAGCCGCGGUAAUACGUAGGGGGCAAGCGUUAUCCGGAAUUACUGGGUGUAAAGGGAGCGUAGACGGCAAUGCAAGUCCGGAGUGGAAUGCGGCAGCUCAACUGCCGAACUGCUCUGGAAACUGUAUGGCUUGAGUGCAGGAGGGGUAAGCGGAAUUCCUGGUGUAGCGGUGAAAUGCGU